rnacentral:rRNA from 1 species
AACGAACGCUGGCGGCAGGCUUAACACAUGCAAGUCGAGCGCCCCGCAAGGGGAGCGGCAGACGGGUGAGUAACGCGUGGGAAUCUACCCAUCUCUACGGAAUAACGCAUGGAAAUGUGUGCUAAUACCGUAUACGUCCUUCGGGAGAAAGAUUUAUCGGAGAUGGAUGAGCCCGCGUUGGAUUAGCUAGUUGGUGGGGUAAAGGCCUACCAAGGCGACGAUCCAUAGCUGGUCUGAGAGGAUGAUCAGCCACACUGGGACUGAGACACGGCCCAGACUCCUACGGGAGGCAGCAGUGGGGAAUAUUGGACAAUGGGCGCAAGCCUUAUCCAGCCAUGCCGCGUGAGUGAUGAAGGCCCUAGGGUUGUAAAGCUCUUUCACCGGUGAAGAUAAUGACGGUAACCGGAGAAGAAGCCCCGGCUAACUUCGUGCCAGCCGCCGCGGUAAUAC